AAUGAGCAUAGUAAAGUCUAGAAGUGAGUCUGGGGUGAGAAAUACCCCCGUGCACAGACACCAGCAUGUGAGCUGAGGGGGGCAGAGGCCGUGAUGGCUCCCUGCCGAGGUGCAGGCAGAGGGGAUGAGAACAUUUGCCCGCGGGGAAAGCAGGAAGGCGGCCCCGGGACCGCCGGUGGACCGGUGGCUGUCUGGGGUCUUUCACUCCCGGGCCUUCGGUUCUGGGCUGCGUAGGGGCGUUGGUGAGCAGGAGGCAGGAUUGCGACUGGAUGUCUGUAGUGAGAGGAGCUCAUUCCCGACAGGAAAUGUGGCCACUGGACUAAGAAGAUGGGGGCUUGAAAAGAGCAAACCUUGAAAUUCCUGCCAGAGGUGAAUGGUCUGUAGCUGGUAAUGUAAAGAGGGAAUUAAAACAGCAGAAGCUGCCAGACACUAUUUUUCUCAAGGCUUAUUUCCUCAAAGGAAAGGGCUUGCAAUUUCAUCUGUCCAGCUCCCUUUCUAUGUGUGACUCAAAUGUUUUCUUGAAAUGUGGCUGACUUCCUGCCGCUCUUACCAUGGCAUAAGGCACCACCAGAUUGCGGAGGUGCCACAGGGUGGUCAUCUCAAGGCAGCCUUCCAGAUGGAGAGAGACAGUGAUCUGGAGAGGUGGCUGACGUCUUCAUUGCUGCGCUAAACCUGCUUCACCUGCCCUCAGCAGAGGGCCACAGAAUAACAACUGAAGACAGCAGAGUGCACAUGGACUGCACAGAUUGAUUAGGAGGAUAUCCUGCACCAGAUAAGGCAGUGCCAAACUGGGAGAGGUGCUCACGCUGCCUCAGAGCUCACUGCCUGCCUGAAUUCUCACCCUUGACCAGAAUGAGUUGAAACUUCCCUUUCAUACAGCAGUGCCCAACAAUGGAAGAAAUCAGGACAUUUUGAGAACUUCUAUUUCUCCUAUGGGGCCAACUACAGAAGAGUUGAGAAACUCAGCAGUGAUUCCCUUGGACACUUCUUUGCAAAGCUAAAUCACAAGUCACUCAGCAACUUCUCAGGAAGUAUCUGGGAACCAUCAGUGAAUUUGCUGCUGGGAAGUAUAAAAGUUCUUCUUGGAUCCAUAAAAUAUGAAGAUGACAUCAUCUUACUAAAUGCUCAUGUUUAUUUGAUGGUCUUUCAUGAUCUGAAGCCUUUUAUUUCCUUCAUUAAGCAGAAGAAAAUGCAAAGUGAAACAAGAACCAGGGUCAGAAAAAGGCAUUAUUUAGACUUAAAUCCUUACAAGAGGAUCCCACAUUGACUGGUGAGAAAAUACCUUGCUGUUUCUUUGAGAGGAAGUUUUCUAUGUGAUAUUUUAUUUGAGGUAGUAAUUGGUAUGGCAUAUCAAAAUAAGUAACAUUUUUUAAGGUCAGAAUUCCACCAUGUGCCAUGUUCAUCCCUGCACUCAAAGUACAGACCACAACAAAAUAAGUCAAUUUUUUGCAAUAAAAACUGUUUCAAAAAAGUAAGUUGUCCAGCCUUAUAGAUACAAAAAGGAAAGUGAUGGCAUUAUAGGCAUACCAGAAUUGUUCUGCAGCACUUAAAAUGCCACUCAUUAGUCUUGCUUUUCAUUAAUAAACUAAAGUAAGUUUUAUAUGAUGUGUUUUAUUUUUGUUUAUAAGUGGUAAUAGAUAUUGCAACUUUUAAGUUAAAAAAAAAAAAAAAGAGGAGUAUGACUUUACACAGAAGGUUAUUUGCAUUUUUCCCAGCCUCUGCAGGUGUCCCCACUGAACCAGUGAAAUGUUUCCAGCACAGUAAAAUGUUGCUUUUCCUUCCACGACAGCACAGAGAAAAAAUACAACAGCCGCUUCCUAGGAAAGUGCAGCCAAAAUAAGCAAAAUAGGUGAUCUUGAAGAAAGAUUGGACACCUCCUACACCUCCCACAUGUAUUCUAGCCUUGAAAAUGUCUGUGUAAUCCCACUCCAAUCCACAGCAGGCUACAACCCUUGCCCUUCUUACUGUUAUUUUGAGACAGAUCACAAUCAGCAAAUUCACAUCUACAAGGAAUUUACCCUCAUACUCAGAUGAACUGGAAGAAUUAAGUGGUAAAUACUGAUUCUGCCAGUAUUGCUGGUUCUCAGCCAGCCAAAGCUCUCAGCAAAGGUGACUUGCAUGGCAAUUAUAUCUUUGUCACAAAAAUAUUUUUGAAACACAAUAUGAGAGAAUUAAAAAAAAUAAAGCCAAAACAAAAUGAAAACCCAAGUCUGGCCCCUUAUUCCACCCCUGAAUAAAAACACAAAUUACAUAACGGAAAUUGUUCCACACAUAACAAGAAACUUGCAAGAGGCCUACAGGAACGCCAAAACAAUGCAUGUGUCCUGCUGAAACCUCCAAAAUUCUGAUAAAAUCACAAGUUUAGGCUUCUGAUCAUCAUUACAGUCCAAGACAAUACUUUAUUUGUCUGUAAGUAAUCAAAUUACAUAAUAAUCGCUGGUCACUAGGCAACCAUUGAUUUUUAGAUGUUAUCAGUUCUUGGGAACAAAGCACAAGCAAAACAUAACCAGGAGUUACUAGUUAAUUCUUUAAAUAAUCAUUAAAAUCAAAGAAAUUAUCUUUUCUCUCCCCAAAAAACUAUUCUUUUUAA